CUCAACCGUAAGGAGGGGGAUGCCUAAGGCAGGGCUAGUGACUGGGGUGAAGUCGUAACAAGGUAGCCGUACCGGAAGGUGUGGCUGGAUCACCUCCUUAAAGGGAGACCUAAUUCAGGUAGGCGACGAAAAAAAAGUAGUCCCAACCAAGAAUCAAUCCCAAAAGGUCGGAGCGAGGCAAAAUUGGCUUUCAAACUAGGUUCUGGGUUCACACAAGACCUGAAUCAGGAACAAGGGCUAUUAGCUCAGGUGGUUAGAGCGCACCCCUGAUAAGGGUGAGGUCCCUGGUUCGAGUCCAGGAUGGCCCACCUGCACAGGUGGCAAAAACAAAGAAGCGAGGAAUCAGCACCUUAUCUUACUUAUAUAGUAAGAGAGAAUGCUGGCUCUGAGUUCAGAGUCCAGAGGAACCUUGAAAACUGCAUAGAGCUAGGUGAAAAAGCCAAAAAAGAAGACCGCAAGGUCAAGCUAAUAAGGGCUAACGGUG
rnacentral:sRNA from 1 species